CAUCAUCCCUGGUACCGCCCCUAUGUGACAUGUGGCAUUUUGAUUAAGGGCUAGCAGUUGGGUUAUCCUCCUGUCUUUUGUGUACUUGCUGUUGGCCAGUGUUCAGUCAUGAGCGUGCAAGUGGCUGUAACCUUGCGCGGUGAGCGACCAUGUGUAUUGCAGCAUUGUACAGUUCUCUUGGGCUGAUGGCAUGUCCAGGGGUUUUCCAAUGAUUCCAAAUGAAGCCUAACAAACAUCAAGCAACAUGACUGCACUGCUGCUCUGUUUUUUUUGUUUGUUUGUUUGUUUUUUGUUUUGUUAUAGUUAUAACC